rnacentral:rRNA from 1 species
UACGUAGGGUGCGAGCGUUGUCCGGAAUUAUUGGGCGUAAAGAGCUCGUAGGCGGUUUGUCACGUCGGCUGUGAAAACUCGGGGCUCAACCCCGAGCCUGCAGCCGAUACGGGCAGACUAGAGUUCGGCAGGGGAGAGUGGAAUUCCUGGUGUAGCGGUGAAAUGCGCAGAUAUCAGGAAGAACACCCGUGGCGAAGGCGGCUCUCUGGGACGGUACUGACGCUGAGACGCGAAAGCGUGGGGAGCGAACAGG